rnacentral:tRNA from 1 species
CGGGGUGUAGCUCAGUGGUAAAGCAUGUACUUAGCAUGCAUAAGGUACUGGGUUCAAUCCUAGUACCUCCA